UUCGGUGAGAUGGAGACUUCGUUGCGGAACGAUGUUGUUGAGCAAAGCUCACGGUAAGAACUUCAGAGAGAUUUAGUAAAUUAAUGUAUGCUUAUUAAUUUAGGAAAGUUACAAAAAACAAUUUUAUAGUUACAGGGAAGAAGGGAAAGUUUCCUAACAAAACAGUCAAAACCUAUCUAACAGAAUGGUCAAUGUCAUAACAACCGUUGACCGCAUGGAACCGAUUCUAACAGCCCCG
rnacentral:lncRNA from 1 species